rnacentral:rRNA from 1 species
CCUACGGGAGGCAGCAGUGGGGAAUAUUGGACAAUGGGCGAAAGCCUGAUCCAGCAAUUCCGCGUGUGUGAAGAAGGCCUUCGGGUUGUAAAGCACUUUAGUGGGGGAAGAAACAGCUUGGCCACACCAAGCCUUGACGGUACCCCAAGAAUAAGCACCGGCUAACUCUGUGCCAGCAGCCGCGGUAAUACAGAGGGUGCAAGCGUUAAUCGGAUUUACUGGGCGUAAAGGGUGCGUAGGUGGCUAUUUAAGUCGGAUGUGAAAGCCCGGGGCUCAACCUCGGAAUUGCAUUCGAUACUGAGUGGCUAGAGUUCGGUAGAGGGCGGCGGAAUUUCCGGUGUAGCGGUGAAAUGCGUAGAUAUCGGAAGGAACAUCAAUGGCGAAGGCAGCCGCCUGGGCCUGGACUGACACUGAGGCACGAAAGCGUGGGUAGCAAACAGGAUUAGAUACCCUGGUAGUCCACGCCGUAAACGAUGAGAAACUUGACGUUGGUUCGUUUUACGAAUCGGUGUCGCAGCUAACGCGAUAAGUUCUCCGCCUGGGGAGUACGGCCGCAAGGUUGAAACUUAAGAAAGUAGUUAGCGUGNGAGAGCGACGACGACGACGAGGAGGAGGAG